rnacentral:rRNA from 1 species
UGAACGCUGGCGGCAUGCCUUACACAUGCAAGUCGAGCGGUAACAGGUCUUCGGAUGCUGACGAGUGGCGAACGGGUGAGUAAUACAUCGGAACGUGCCCGAUCGUGGGGGAUAACGAAGCGAAAGCUUUGCUAAUACCGCAUACGAUCUACGGAUGAAAGCAGGGGACCGCAAGGCCUUGCGCGAACGGAGCGGCCGGUGGCAGAUUAGGUAGUUGGUGGGAUAAAAGCUUACCAAGCCGACGAUCUGUAGCUGGUCUGAGAGGACGACCAGCCACACUGGGACUGAGACACGGCCCAGACUCCUACGGGAGGCAGCAGUGGGGAAUUUUGGACAAUGGGCGAAAGCCUGAUCCAGCCAUGCCGCGUGCAGGAUGAAGGCCUUCGGGUUGUAAACUGCUUUUGUACGGAACGAAAAGACUCUGGUUAAUACCUGGGGUCCAUGACGGUACCGUAAGAAUAAGCACCGGCUAACUACGUGCCAGCAGCCGCGGUAAUACGUAGGGUGCAAGCGUUAAUCGGAAUUACUGGGCGUAAAGCGUGCGCAGGCGGUUAUAUAAGACAGAUGUGAAAUCCCCGGGCUCAACCUGGGAACUGCAUUUGUGACUGUAUAGCUAGAGUACGGCAGAGGGGGAUGGAAUUCCGCGUGUAGCAGUGAAAUGUGUAGAUAUGCGGAGGAACACCGAUGGCGAAGGCAAUCCCCUGGGCCUGUGCUGACGCUCAUGCACGAAAGCGUGGGGAGCAAACAGG